rnacentral:rRNA from 1 species
GACGAACGCUGGCGGCGUGCUUAACACAUGCAAGUCGAGCGGAAAGGCCCUUCGGGGUACUCGAGCGGCGAACGGGUGAGUAACACGUGAGUAACCUGCCCCAGACUUUGGGAUAACCCUCGGAAACGGGGGCUAAUACCGGAUACGACACAGCUUCGCAUGGGGUCUGUGUGGAAAGUUUUUCGGUUUGGGAUGGGCUCGCGGCCUAUCAGCUUGUUGGUGGGGUGAUGGCCUACCAAGGCGACGACGGGUAGCCGGCCUGAGAGGGCGACCGGCCACACGGGGACUGAGACACGGACCAGACUCCUACGGGAGGCAGCAGUGGGGAAUAUUGCACAAUGGGCGGAAGCCUGAUGCAGCGACGCCGCGUGAGGGAUGACGGCCUUCGGGUUGUAAACCUCUUUCAGCAGGGACGAAGCGUAAGUGACGGUACCUGCAGAAGAAGCGCCGGCCAACUACGUG